rnacentral:rRNA from 1 species
UACGUAGGGUGCAAGCGUUUAAUCGGAAUUACUGGGCGUAAAGCGUGCGCAGGCGGUUGUGCAAGACAGAUGUGAAAUCCCCGGGCUCAACCUGGGAACUGCAUCUGUGACUGCAUCGCUGGAGUGCGGCAGAGGGGGAUGGAAUUCCGCGUGUAGCAGUGAAAUGCGUAGAUAUGCGGAGGAACACCGAUGGCGAAGGCAAUCCCCUGGGCCUGCACUGACGCUCAUGCACGAAAGCGUGGGGAGCAAACAGG